AGCUUUGCACAGUGGCAGUAUCGUAGCCAAUGAGGUUUAUUCAAGGCACUAUUAUUGCUGAUUGAAAACUUUUCCCAAUACCCUGCAAUAACGACUUGAAAUAUAGCAUUGGCAAUUUUUGACAAUCUCUAUGGAGA
ensembl:snRNA U4 U4 spliceosomal RNA